rnacentral:rRNA from 1 species
UACAGAGGGGGCAAGCGUUAUUCGGAAUUAUUGGGCGUAAAGGGCGCGUAGGUGGUUUGUUAAGUCUGCUGUGAAAGCCCCGGGCUCAACCUGGGAAUGGCAGUGGAUACUGGCAAGCUAGAGUGCGGUAGAGGGGUGUGGAAUUCCCGGUGUAGCGGUGAAAUGCGUAGAGAUCGGGAGGAACACCAGUGGCGAAGGCGGCACCCUGGACCAGCACUGACACUGAGGCACGAAAGCGUGGGGAGCAAACAGG